UAUGCGACAAGGCAUAAAAUAUGCAUAUCAAAGACUAGAUACAUUUGCAUGUGUUAGGCAAAAUGGUUGAACAAGCAAUUGAGCAAAUUAUGGCCUUUUGUUGCAGAGGUGCAUACUUUGGCUUUCUGUUUCGGUGUUUUGGAUUUUCUGGCGGUUGAAUUGAAAGCAUCAAAGGACUUCUCUAAGUUAUAUGCAGGCAUGGCAAUAC